AACUAGCCCUGAUUGCAGUGGAAAUCCUUUUUUGAUGCUGGAACAGCAACAAAAAAGAUUGUAACGGAAAGCAGGAAAUAGC
rnacentral:sRNA from 1 species